UGGAACUGGUUUGUCUUUAGGGGAGUCCCUAAUCUGGACGCAUUGCAAUGGCUAUGAACAGUAGGGAGAAUUUCUUCAUCGCACAAAAUAGAACAACUAUUGUCUGGGAAUUAAGAUUACUGACAAUUAAACAAAUAAAAGAAGAUAAAUUUAAGAAAAUUAAGGCAUAGAUCCACAUCCAUUCUGGGAACUGUCAGUAUCACCACAGUAUCCAUUCUACCCUGAAGAUGACACAACAAAAAUGAAAAACAUAAAAUCUCUUACAUGAAAUUUAAAAAGAAUAAGGAAUUGGAAAGCUCCUAUACCUUUUCCCAAUGAAAAUGACCAUUAAUCAUUGAAUCUCUGCUGGUGACCUAGAGUAUCU
rnacentral:lncRNA from 1 species